rnacentral:lncRNA from 10 species
GGCGACUUGUGGAGGGUGGUUCCUGGGACAACGCCCAUGCCGUGAUCAGGAACGGGGUCAGCAGGAGUCAGGUGGGGAAGUGCCAGGUGUCCACUGCCACGACCAACACGUUACUCACACUCACGGCACAAGAAUGGCCUCUGUACCCUGUGUGUAGGCAUAUCCAGGCACAGUCGCUUGUAUGUCUGAGACCUCAAGCUGGAGAGUGCUGAUGGCCAACAUGCUGGUCACCUCUCCACAGUCCUUCCUCCUCCUGGACAACACCCCUGCUCUCUCUGGAUGGUCCUGAGCUAAGCCCGGAAGAUCCUUCCUGCCAUGUCCCCCUCCAAUCAGAGCCGACCCACACUGUGUCCCUCCCAGUGGCUCUACUGCCUACUGAACACGUGCACCAUCACCGCCGUGGGGCCCACAGAGUCAAGGCUAUAAAGAGGGACUGAGAACACCGUGACGCCCUGGCCUGCGCACCCUCCUCUGCUCCAUCUGGGUCUGUCCGGAUGGCAGAGGCUCAGAGGGUCUGCCCCUACCAGAUGGUGGAGGCUCAGAAUGUCUGAGCCAGAAAAAGCAUGAAAGAAAACUUAGCCUUCCUCCUCCCAGUUAACAGAACAUCGGGAGGGGUGAGGAGAGAAGGCCCAGGAGGAGGGGCGUCCUUCCCAGGCAGCUGUCACAGGCCCCUAGCUGAGCUCUCAUGGCAGACACAGCCCAGGACACUCAGACCCAGAGUGACUACGAGCCCCGGCAAGACGUGGAGGAGCAGAGUUACAACCCGUCAAGAGCCUGAUUUCAGGUUGAAACCAGGCUUCACCAUGCAGCAGCUGUGUGGCCUCAGGGAAGUUACUGAACCCCUCUGAGCCUCCCAUGGAAAAUAAGGAUGAUGGUUCCCCUCACAGGGUUGUCGGGAGGAUUCAGUGUCCUCCUUCAGGUCUUGACUCGGAUGUUGCCUCUGAGUGAGGGCGUCUUUGGCCACCCCAUUUAAAGUGCCAACCCUGACACUUCCUCCCUCCUUUCCCCUCUGUCCUCUUCCUGGCUCUUAUCACCAUCAGACAAACCAAGUUUUCACUUCUUGAUCAUUGUCCAGCCCCUGCUGUGAAAUGUGAAGUCCUAAGACACAGGCUUUUUUUGUUUGUUACGUUCAUUGCUUUAGAAGGAAUUAAGGACAAGCUACCCCAAAUGACGUCACUUUGGUAUAUGGAUUAUUUUGAGCUGCAGGCACUGGAGAAACAGCAGGUGCAGGCAGGGCCUUCGGACCUCCCCUUUUCUAACCAAGAACAGGCCAUGACAUUUCCCACGAGAUACACACUCCCUUUGUACCAGGAAGAGAACAUCCUUAUCACCAAACACUGGGAGUGGAUGCCGAGGUGCAUCUGCACAAACACACUUAAUAAAAUAACCCUUUGCUUCCACCAGUUUUACUCGUUUCUCCCCCACGAAUCUUCCAGUUCCUCCCCCACGAUUUAC